GGGAGGUUGGCAGAGUGGCCGAAUGCGCCGGUCUUGAAAACCGGAGAACGUUGAUAGCGUUCCAAGGGUUCGAAUCCCUUGCCUCCCGCCA
rnacentral:tRNA from 1 species